GUUAUAUUACCAUGUGCAUCAUGAAGAGUUGCCUACUAUUGAUUUUUCUCAUGAUUGUUGCUUCGAUUGAUGCCUGGCGUCAUAUUCAUAGAAGACAACUUGAUGUGAAUAAUUGUAAUUAUGAUUGUGCAACACAUCUUGAUUUUCUUUGCGCCAUGGAUCUGAGAAUGAAAUAUUAUAUAUUUAACAAUUUGUGCGAAAUGAACAAAUACGCUUGUAAGACGAAUUAUCAUAUGGAAAUAGUGAACAUGGAAUUAUGUGAUCAGCACUUCGGCAUAGAAAAAUAACGUUUGACAAAGUAAUAAAUGGAUUAUAACCUCAAAAUCGUGCUAUUUAUGUAGAAUCUGCUGAUAAAUAAAAAGAAAAGUAUUAAAAAUAUUUUGCGGUCUAAAAAUACAAAAUUUAUGUGCUUUUAUAUAAA